UGGCUUUGCAAAGAGUUUCUCCUUUGUGGGUGCGUUAUUUAAAGGGAUCAGUGGGGAUUUGCUGCAUUUGUGGUAGCUCUCGAAGCUGAAUAUUACCUGGAGCCCCAGUAUAAGGAUAAGAAACAUCACUAAAGAGAAUAUUUGGAAUUAUCACCUCUCUAUCAUCUCCAGGAGAUGCCUUUGAACUCACAGCCCCCCUCCCUUUUUAUUUAAAGACUUAUUUUU